UACAGAGGGGGCAAGCGUUGUUCGGAAUUACUGGGCGUAAAGGGCGCGUAGGCGGCCUGCUAAGUCGAACGUGAAAUCCCCGAGCUCAACUCGGGAACUGCGUCCGAUACUGGCAGGCUUGAAUCCGGGAGAGGGAUGCGGAAUUCCAGGUGUAGCGGUGAAAUGCGUAGAUAUCUGGAGGAAUACCGGUGGCGAAGGCGGCAUCCUGGACCGACAUUGACGCUGAGGAGCGAAAGCUAGGGGAGCAAACGGG
rnacentral:rRNA from 1 species